rnacentral:rRNA from 1 species
AUUGCCUCAGUAACGGCGAGUGAAGCGGCAACAGCUCAAAUUUGAAAGCUGGCCCCCCCGGGGGUCCGCGUUGUAAUUUGUAGAGGAUGAUUCGGCGAGGGCUCCCGCCUAAGUCCCCUGGAACGGGGCGUCAUAGAGGGUGAGAAUCCCGUAUGCGGUGGGCUGCCUUAGCCAUGUGAAUCUCCUUCGACGAGUCGAGUUGUUUGGGAAUGCAGCUCUAAAUGGGAGGUAAAUUUCUUCUAAAGCUAAAUACCGGCCAGAGACCGAUAGCGCACAAGUAGAGUGAUCGAAAGAUGAAAAGCACUUUGGAAAGAGAGUUAAAAAGUACGUGAAAUUGUUGAAAGGGAAGCGCUUGCAGCCAGACUUGUCCGCAGUUGCUCAGCCGGUCUCCUGACCGGCGCACUCUUCUGCGGCCAGGCCAGCAUCAGUUCGGGCGGUCGGAUAAAGGCCCCGGGAACGUAGCUCCUCUCGGGGAGUGUUAUAGCCCGGGGUGGAAUGCGGCCAGCCUGGACUGAGGAUCUCGCUUCGGCUAGGAUGCUGGCGUAAUGGCUGUAAGCGGCCCGUCUUGAAACACGGACCAAGGAGUCUAACAUCUAUGCGAGUGUUUGGGUGUCAAACCCAUGCGCGUAAUGAAAGUGAACGGAGGUGGGAACCCUCGCGGGUGCACCAUCGACCGAUCCUGAUGUCUUCGGAUGGAUUUGAGUAAGAGCAUAGCUGUUGGGACCCGAAAGAUGGUGAACUAUGCCUGAAUAGGGUGAAGCCAGAGGAAACUCUGGUGGAGGCUCGCAGCGGUUCUGACGUGCAAAUCGAUCGUCAAAUUUGGGUAUAGGGGCGAAAGACUAAUCGAACCAUCGACUACUAGGUGGUUAAGAGGUGGCUGAAAGUGCCCACCUAGUCCCCCCGUCCUCGGACGGGGGGGCGACAUCGCCAAAUUGCGGGGACUCCCUUAGAGCCUCUACUACCGCGGCCGGCCGAAAGGCGCGGUGCAGCACCGGGUUAAUUGCCUAGGGUACGGUAAAAAGGUAGAGGAUUGGGAAAUCCGCAGCCAAGCGCCUAAGUCCCGCGGGAUACGGCGAAGGUUCAGAGACUAGAUGGCGGUGGGUCCGGCCCGAGGGCCGGGCCUAAGGUAUAGUCCACCCCCUGCGGAGACGCG